CCUACGGGAGGCAGCAGUGGGGGAUAUUGCACAAUGGGGGGAACCCUGAUGCAGCGACGCCGCGUGGGUGAAGAAGCGCCUCGGCGCGUAAAGCCCUGUCAGCCGGGAAGAAAAUGACGGUACCUGACGAAGAAGCCCCGGCUAACUACGUGCCAGCAGCCGCGGGAAUCAGUGGGGGCCAAGCGUUAUCCGGAUUUAAUGGGGUUAAAGGGGGCGCAGUCGGCGGUGCAAGCCAGGAGUGAAACCCCGGGGGCCAAACCCGGGACUGCUCUUGGAACUGGGUGGCUGGAGUGCAGGAGGGGCAGGCGGAAUUCGUGGUGUAGCGGUGAAAUGCGUAGAUAUCAGGAAGAACACCGGUGGCGAAGGCAGCCUGCUGGACUGCAACUGACGUUGAGGCCCGAAAGCGUGGGGAGCAAACAGGAUUAGAUACCCUUGUAGUC
rnacentral:rRNA from 1 species